AUGGGAUUCAGAGAUUUGGAAGUUUUUAAUGACGCAUUGUUGGCAAAAUAGGCAUGGAGGCUACUAGAGCGACCAGAUAGCUUGUGUGCGAGUGUGUUAAAAGGUAGAUAUUUUCCUCAUGGUGUAUUCAUAAGUGCUAAUUGCCCAAGAAGUGCAUCAGCCACAUGGAGAGCUAUCAUUAAUGGCAGAAACAUGCUAAAAGAGGGUCUUAUAAGGCGUGUUGGUGAUGGGAUGACAACGGAGAUUUGGCAUGACAAAUGGAUAUCAGGUAUAGUCUCCAUGAGGCCAGUGACGGCUCCAGGAAUUUGCAACCGGGUAUUCAUGUGUAUUCAUUAUGCCAAAAUCAUUGCUGUUUUUCGAAAAUUAUCACUCUUUUGUCAAAAUCAACACAGUUUUAUAAAAAUCAUGGGUAUUCACAUGAAGACCCAAGAAUACCCCUAG
rnacentral:rRNA from 1 species